ensembl:lncRNA
GGUCAGAGCUUGGCGAACUUUCAAAGGCAUCAUGCCUCGGUUCUGAUCCCUGCUGCCCGGACAAUGGCACAGCUGAGUGAGGAGGGAAGAAACAUAUAUUGAGCACCUGCUGUGUGAAGACCUAGCAUGGGACACUCUCACAUAUGGGAUUCUGUUUAAUUCUGAAGAAGGCAUCACUGUCCCCAUAGUACAGAGGAGAAAGCCGAAGCACACAGGACUAAAGUGACUUGUCCACCAUCCCCCAGCCAGGGAGAUGCAGAAAGUGGGGAGUCAGGGGCUCAUAUGAGCAGGAACAGGGGUUGGGGGGCAGCUCUCAGAAGGGGAUGACCUAGUAUAUCUUUUGGAUGGGGGGGCCCAGUCAUGUGAUUGUGCCAUCUGGCCCUGGGAGCACCUCCACCCCAGAGACAAAGGGCCUUGCAUUCUGGGGGUCUGCCCAGGGCUAUCUGUUAUUCCUGCUGCUCUCUUGGUCUGGCACAGAGCAUGUGAGGGACCACACUGCAGCUCCACACCUGUGCCAGCCUGAGGCAGAAGCAGGGAGUCUCAGGGCCCGGCCUUUGUGGCCUCAAGCUAGCGGGGCAGCAACAGGUGGGGCUCUGAUCUCCAAGGGAGUCAUAUGAGCCCAAGCCAGUAUCUCAAAGGAGGGGACUCUGGCCCACCCCCACCCCAAAGUCACACAGCCUGGCACAGAGAAACUGGGAUCUGAGUUCAAUCCGGCUCCAGAGCUAAUAAUGUUCUUCAAGCUAUAUCUUUUUGGAAUCCCAGGUUCCUGGGUUCUAGACUCAACUGGUUCCUUGGGAAAGUCCCAACUUCUCUGGCCUAUUUCUUUUCCUAUAAAGUGAGAGGAUUAGAUAAGGUAAUACUGAGGGCUCUAACAAUCUGUGUCUUUGAUAUCCCUCCAGUCCUCAGAAGAGAAGGUCACCAUGGCAACCAUAAAGGGCAGUUCACUGUGUCAAGCAUAAGGGUGAAAUGCAGUUUUUGUGAGGAGCUCACAGAAGUCUAGUGAAAACACAGUCUCAUGCAAUUCACAUGGGCUAGGUGUUACAAUGCAUUAAGAACCCAUGAAGGAGUAGGGUUUUGAGAGGGUUGAGG